rnacentral:rRNA from 1 species
GUUGUUCGGAUUUACUGGGCGUAAAGGGCGCGUAGGCGGCUAUUCAAGUCAUCUGUGAAAUCUCCGGGCUUAACUCGGAACGGUCAAGUGAUACUGUUGUGCUAGAGUACAGAAGGGGCAAUCGGAAUUCUUGGUGUAGCGGUGAAAUGCGUAGAUAUCAAGAGGAACACCAGAGGCGAAGGCGGAUUGCUGGGCUGAUACUGACGCUGAGGCGCGAAAGCUAGGGUAGCAAACGGG